UACGGAGGGUGCAAGCGUUAAUCGGAAUUACUGGGCGUAAAGCGCACGCAGGCGGUUUGUUAAGUCAGAUGUGAAAUCCCCGAGCUUAACUUGGGAACUGCAUUUGAAACUGGCAAGCUAGAGUCUUGUAGAGGGGGGUAGAAUUCCAGGUGUAGCGGUGAAAUGCGUAGAGAUCUGGAGGAAUACCGGUGGCGAAGGCGGCCCCCUGGACAAAGACUGACGCUCAGGUGCGAAAGCGUGGGGAGCGAACGGG
rnacentral:rRNA from 1 species